rnacentral:misc_RNA from 1 species
AAAUAUGUUGACAACACAGUAAGUGUUCUUCUCAAAGAGCUCAACAACUCUUUCCUCCGAAGGGAGAAGUGCUGCAGAAGGAAAAAUAGUAGGUGUAACUUGUUCAACUGUGACAGACAGAUCCCCCAAAGCAAGUGCUUGAAGGAUGAUAACAUGAAUACAUGAAAAAGCUUGUUAACAACAUCCUCCGUGUGGCAAAAGGGAAG